rnacentral:rRNA from 1 species
AGUGAACGCUGGCGGCAGGCCUAAUACAUGCAAGUCGAACGGCAGCACAGCAGAGCUUGCUCUGUGGGUGGCGAGUGGCGGACGGGUGAGGAAUACAUGGGAAUCUGCCCAGUCGUGGGGGAUAACGUAGGGCAACUUACGCUAAUACCGCAUGCGCCCUUCGGGGGAAAGCCGGGGACCUUCGGGCCUGGCGCGAUUGGAUGAGCCCAUGUCGGAUUAGCUAGUUGGCGGGGUAAAAGCCCACCAAGGCGACGAUCCGUAGCUGGUCUGAGAGGAUAAUCAGCCACACUGGAACUGAGACACGGUCCAGACUCCUACGGGAGGCAGCAGUAGGGAAUAUUGGACAAUGGGCGCAAGCCUGAUCCAGCCAUGCCGCGUGAGUGAAGAAGGCCCUCGGGUUGUAAAGCUCUUUUGUCCGGAAAGAAAAGCAUCCAGUUAAUACCUGGGUGUCCUGACGGUACCGGAAGAAUAAGCACCGGCUAACUUCGUGCCAGCCGCCGCCGUAACAC